UACGUAGGAUGCAAGCGUUAUCCGGAAUGAUUGGGCGUAAAGCGUCCGCAGGUGGCGAUGUAAGUCUGCUGUUAAAGAGUCUAGCUCAACUAGAUAAGAGCAGUGGAAACUACAUAGCUAGAGUACGUUCGGGGCAGAGGGAAUUCCUGGUGUAGCGGUGAAAUGCGUAGAGAUCAGGAAGAACACCAGUGGCGAAGGCGCUCUGCUAGGCCGUAACUGACACUGAGGGACGAAAGCUAGGGGAGCGAAUGGG
rnacentral:rRNA from 1 species